rnacentral:rRNA from 1 species
AUUGAACGCUGGCGGCAGGCCUAACACAUGCAAGUCGAGCGGAGCGGCGGACGGGUGAGUAAUGCCUAGGAAUCUGCCUGAUAGUGGGGGCUACCGUCCGGAAACGGGCGCUAAUACCGCAUACUAUCAGAUGAGCCUAGGUCGGAUUAGCUCGUUGGUGGGGUAAAGGCAUACUAAGGCGACGAUCCAUAACUGGUCUGAGAGGAUGAUCAGUCAAGCGAGAACUGAUACGCGUUCCGGACUCGUACGGGAGGGAGCGGUGGAGAAUAGUGGACAGUGGGCGGAGGGCUGUUCCGGCCAUGCCGCGUGUGUGGAGAAGGUAUUCGGAUUGUGGAGCACUAUAAGUUUGGAGGCGGAACCGACAGAAUAAGCACCGGCUAACUUCGUGCCAGCAGCCGCGGUAAUUC